AUGAAGACUGUGUUUGUGCUUCUCGCUGUUGCUGUUUCAUGUGUUUUUGUCGAGUCCAGUCGAGAGCUCAAAGAAAUUAAGGUUUCGAUAGACAGUGUCAUGAACAAGCUGCCUAAGACAGGCGUUGUAUUUGUGAUUGAACCUAAGCACAGAAAUUGUACGGAUAAAUUUUUCUGUCAAGUUGAGAAAAUCCUGUCUGGAAACAACGGUGUUUCCAAGCUUCCUAAUUUCUCGUAUGUUGACAACUUGAUCAGAAGGUUGGAAGCAUAUAACAAGCACCAUGUGAAAAACUGCACCAUCGAAACCACUGGAGAGGAAAUCGGGCUAUUUCAGUUUCUGCAAGGCGUGAGGAAACGUGUACAAGAUGCCAUCGCAAAGUCCACAUGAACAGAGCUCUUCUUUGAGAUGUUUUUUUUUAUUUCUAAUUUAUGUAAGGACAUAUUUAAAUUGACUUGGAUGCCCCUAUCAGAUGCAUUUGUAUUUAUUUUGUCCUUGUGAUGCUUUAAUUUGGCAAUAAAUAAAUUGUAAAAAAAAAUA
rnacentral:lncRNA from 1 species